ACUAUAAAUAUGGGACCCAUUGCCUCGCGUUCAGCAUCAGAAGUUGGAAUUGAGGGGUUAGAUCACCAAAUGAUUCCCGAGCGCGCCACGGCCGCUGCUCCCCCAGGGGAUGGAUUAAAUGCAGAGGACAAAUUUCACCUCACCCAGAUGUGUGUGUGUGAUCAUUAUUGGGACUUUAACCUCGCCGUUAAACAAAACGCAGACGACCAUGACGUCACUUCCCGUUUACGAACGAGUUGUGAAUCGCAUUUCCGGUUCCCCAACUGAACGCUUCUGCGAGUGAACGAGUCAGGUCGAGUGAGAGUGAUUUGCAUUUCCAGUUCAUUGCGAGAACGGAUCAGUGAGGGAACGAAUCCUGCCUGAUUUUGCCGUUCGCGAACGAGGCAAUUAAUAACGGAUCACUCAGUGAACGUGUUGCAUCUCCCUCCUAUGGAAGCCAGAAUGUCUAUUCACGAUUUGCCAAGGAAAGAAAGUGGUUACUGAUUGCUGGUGAAAAUGGCGGUGUGCCUAAUGGAGUGUCCGAGGGACGUCACAGAUCAUCCAGCCAAUCAGAAAGUGGGGGCCAACAGUUGAGGCAGAUGGCUGUCCAACACCAAAUAUUGCUUCACUCAAAGGUUUCUA